rnacentral:rRNA from 1 species
UACAGAGGUCCCGAGCGUUGUUCGGAUUCAUUGGGCGUAAAGGGUGCGUAGGCGGCGGGGCAAGUCGGAUGUGAAAUCUCAGGGCUCAACCCUGAAACUGCAUUCGAUACUGCCUGGCUAGGGUACUGGAGAGGAGACUGGAAUUUACGGUGUAGCAGUGAAAUGCGUAGAUAUCGUAAGGAAGACCAGUGGCGAAGGCGAGUCUCUGGACAGUUACCGACGCUGAGGCACGAAGGCCAGGGGAGCAAACAGG